rnacentral:rRNA from 1 species
GACAGAGGGUGCAAACGUUGUUCGGAAUUACUGGGCGUAAAGCGCACGUAGGCGGUCUUUUAAGUCGGAGGUGAAAUCCUGGAGCUCAACUCCAGAACUGCCUUCGAUACUGGAAGACUUGAGUCCGGGAGAGGUGAGUGGAACUGCGAGUGUAGAGGUGAAAUUCGUAGAUAUUCGCAAGAACACCAGUGGCGAAGGCGGCUCACUGGCCCGGUACUGACGCUGAGGUACGAAAGCGUGGGGAGCAAACAGGG